CGGACGGCUGAGUAACGCGUAGGUGACCUGCCCCGAAGUGGGGGAAGUAAACUGCCCGAAAGGGUGGCUAAUACCGCAUGUGGUGGAUCGUUCGUUCGGUCCAUCAAAGCAGUAAUGCGCUUCGGGAGGGGCCUGCGUCCGAUUAGCUCGUUGGUGGGGUAACGGCUCACCAAGGCGACGAUCGGUAGGUGGUCUGAGAGGACGAUCACCCAGACUGGGACUGAGACACGGCCCAG
rnacentral:rRNA from 1 species